rnacentral:rRNA from 1 species
ACUAAAUAGAUACCCAGGUAGUCCACGCCCUAAACGAUGUCUACUAGUUGUUGGUGGAGUAAAAUCCAUGAGUAAACGCAGCUAAACGCGUGAAGUAGACCGCCUGGGGAGUACGGUCGCAAGAUUAAAAACUCAAAGGAAUUGACGGGGGCCCGCACAAGCGGUGGAUUAUGUGGAUUAAAUUCGAUGCAACGCGAAAAACCUUACCUGGCCUUGACAUGCCACUAACGAAGCAGAGAUGCAUUAGGUGCCCGUAAGGGAAAGUGGACACAGGUGCUGCAUGGCUGUCGUCAGCUCGUGUCGUGAGAUGUUGGGUUAAGUCCCGCAACGAGCGCAACCCUUGCCAUUAAUUGCCAUCAUUUAGUUGGGCACUUUAAUGGGACUGCCGGUGACAAACCGGAGGAAGGUGGGGAUGACGUCAAGUCCUCAUGGCCCUUAUGGCCAGGGCUUCACACGUAAUACAAUGGUCGGUACAGAGAGUUGCCAACCCGCGAGGGGAGCUAAUCUCAGAAAGCCGAUCGUAGUCCGGAUUGUUCUCUGC